AGGGAUGUAGCUCAGUGGUAGAGCACUUGCCUAGCAUGCACAAGGCCCUGGGUUCCAUCCCCAGCACCACCA
rnacentral:tRNA from 1 species